CUAAGAUUUCGUGACGUGCAAAUCACAUCAGAAUCCUCUUUGGUCUUAACCUGAUGUUGGCGACCUUCCUGAUGCUUUCCUUCUGUACAGACUCCGACUCGGUAGUGCAGUGCCAGUCGUUGUCCACAUCCUUGGUUGUUUUCCAUGAGUUUUUUAAUGGAUGGGUCUGCCUCCCAUGCGACCUAGGACAAUUCUUUCCUUUAUUAUUGUUGGCAUUUCCAGCGAAAGCUGCGAGGAUUUCCAGGUAAAUUCUUCAUAGGAUUGGAUUUUGGGAAGCUUCUCUAGCCUGCUCGCGGUAUGAGCUUUUUGUUACUGGCAGCUUUUGACAAAAUCACAUUAGUCAAUGGUAUGAACAUGAUCACAUGAGAAUAAAAUGUCGGGGCUCCGAUCCACCAUGCAUGUUCAAUCAGUGUCGUCAAAACAUUCUAGUGUUGUGCUAGUAGAAUAAAUGGAACCUUCUAGUUCAUUAAGCAGAAUAAGCGCUAUUGGUUAGAUAUGCUAAUCCAUUAAAGCCUGCACGAGCUAGUGAUUUUAAUGGCAUAAGUAUUUGAAAUUUCUGAAUAAAUUUUUGGUCACAACUUACAGUGCAUGGUUAGAAUCCCAUGUAUUUCAGAGCGUAGUAUAUAGAUAGUUUCUUAUCUUUAUCUAAUUGCAGUGGAAUUCAAUACCUAUUACUCUAUAAAUUAUAGUUUUUUCCAAUUCUACUUUCCCUUUUCCAUCUUACAUACAUGUACCUUUAACAUGUAUUUACUAUUUAUAGUUAAAACCUCAACUUGAGCUUUGUGUUUGACACAUCACCUAUUUGCAUACAUGUAUACGUGGUCUGCAUAGUGGCACAUUCAUACAUCUAUACCUUAGGUUAGUUUUUUCUAUAAUAAAUAAUAAUGACAGAAGAAGGUAAUUUAGAAUCACAUAGUAUAACUGUAGUUUAGCAUAUUUCUUAAUGGAUGACAAACAUAUUGGUAACUUAGAUGCAAAUUUUUUGGGUUACUUAAGAUUAUUUUCAAUAAUACCAGAGGUGGGAAACAUCGUUACAAUUUUAGAUGGUUACUGUAGGUUAAUUUUAAUAACAGAAUGGUAACAUGGAUGCAGAAUUAGAGGUUAUGUUUGUAAUAGCACUGGUAGUAAUUUAGAUAAGAUGACAGAGUUACUUUAUAUUCUUUUUAUAAUAGCGAAGGUCAGUAAUUUAGAUGAAGAUUAGAGAAUUACUUUAGAUUAUUUUAUAUAGUUUCUAAUUUAUACAUUGAUUUAGGGUAUUACAUUACACUACUUUUAUAAUGCCAGAUGUGGAUAACCUUUUCAAAAUUAAGAUAGAUUCGUUGGCUAUUAUUAUGACCCAUUAUCGUCUACCAAAUGAUGGCCGGGUAUUGAUGUCAAGCAAAAUUAUAGCAAAACUACAUAUUUUUUCAGAAGUUUAUCACAACUAUACAGAUUUAAUGAGCCAUAGUUUUGGUUGCCCGGAAGCGCAUGCGCAUGCACACAUCUUUUCUUUUUCGUGCUGAUUUUCGAGACAGAAAUAUUAUGCAUAUACAGACAUGAUGGUCCCUUAUGGCCAUGUCUGUUAGUGUUUGGCAUUCUUUCACAUUCUUUACUCCUUUAUUUUGUUCUCACGCUUUAUGCUAUUUCCAGACAAAUUCUACGUGCUCCGGUUUCCAGGAAAAUUCAAGAUAACGAUGGGCAGAGGUUUGGUGAUCUUGAUAAUCUUGAAUAGAAUGCUGCGUGUUAAUUAAUCAGCUGGUGCCACCUGCUCAACAUAAUAUAUAGCUUGCUGCAGAUUGAUAAUAAGCCCCCCCCCCCCUGUAAUGUUCUUAUGAUAAUAUGACAUCUACGAUUACUCUGACUUGUUCUACUGAAUUCAGUGCUUAGUCCACUUGCAGGUGAGUAGGUGACGAAUGAUGCUGCGGGCAAAAGGAGAGCGACAUAGACUGUACAGCUUUUCAUGAAUAAAAGUUUGCACUGUAUGAAUAUGAAAAAAAAAUAAUUCGCCGAUGAAAGAUAGAUUUUGCUUUGGGCAUGUCA